ACUUAUCUGACGAGUCCCAAAUAGGACAAAAAUACGUGUUUUAAAU
rnacentral:hammerhead_ribozyme from 1 species